rnacentral:rRNA from 1 species
UACGUAGGGGGCAAGCGUUGUCCGGAAUCAUUGGGCGUAAAGAGCGUGUAGGCGGCCCGGUAAGUCCGCUGUGAAAGUCCAGGGCUCAACCCUGGAAUGCCGGUGGAAACUGUCGGGCUAGAGUCCGGAAGAGGCGAGUGGAAUUCCUGGUGUAGCGGUGAAAUGCGCAGAUAUCAGGAGGAACACCAAUGGCGAAGGCAGCUCGCUGGGACGUAACUGACGCUGAGACGCGAAAGCGUGGGGAGCAAACAGG